UACGGAGGGGGCGAGCGUUGUUCGGAAUCAUUGGGCGUAAAGGGCGCGUAGGCGGCGUCGUAAGUCAGAUGUGAAAGCCCUUGGCUUAACCAAGGAAUUGCAUCUGAAACUGCGGUGCUUGAAUCCGGGAGGGGAGAGUGGAAUUCCCAGUGUAGCGGUGAAAUGCGUAGAUAUUGGGAGGAACACCGGCGGCGAAGGCGGCUCUCUGGACCGGUAUUGACGCUGAGGCGCGAAAGCUAGGGGAGCAAACGGG
rnacentral:rRNA from 1 species